rnacentral:rRNA from 1 species
GACGUAGGGCGCGAGCGUUGUCCGGAAUUAUUGGGCGUAAAGAGCUCGUAGGCGGCUUGUUGCGUCGGCUGUGAAAACCCGCGGCUUAACCGUGGGCUUGCAGCCGAUACGGGCGGGCUAGAGUUCGGUAGGGGAGACUGGAAUUCCUGGUGUAGCGGUGAAGUGCGCAGAUAUCAGGAGGAACACCGGUGGCGAAGGCGGGUCUCUGGGCCGAUACUGACGCUGAGGAGCGAAAGCGUGGGGAGCGAACAGG